rnacentral:rRNA from 1 species
UUCAGCAGCCAUAUCACCCUUCAGUUCACCACUGGCAGCCCACUGAAGCUCAGCAGGUUUGAACCUGGUCAGUACCUGGAUGGAGACCUCCUGGGAAAAACGUGCUGCUGGAA